GCCUUUGUGGUGUAAUUGGAAGCAUAUUCCACUCGUAUUCGAGAGCUUUAGGGUUCGAGUCCCGGCGAGGGCA
rnacentral:tRNA from 1 species